rnacentral:tRNA from 3 species
GCGGCUGUAGCUCAGCUGGCUAGAGCGUCUGCUUGCCAUGCAGAAGGUCGUGGGUUCGAAUCCCAUCAGCCGCU